GAUGAACGCUGGCGGCGUGCAUAAUACAUGCAAGUCGAACGCUUUGUGGUUCAACUGAUUUGAAGAGCUUGCUCAGAUAUGACGAUGGACAUUGCAAAGAGUGGCGAACGGGUGAGUAACACGUGGGAAACCUACCUCUUAGCAGGGGAUAACAUUUGGAAACAGAUGCUAAUACCGUAUAACAAUGACAACCGCAUGGUUGUUAUUUAAAAGAUGGUUCUGCUAUCACUAAGAGAUGGUCCCGCGGUGCAUUAGCUAGUUGGUAAGGUAAUGGCUUACCAAGGCGAUGAUGCAUAGCCGAGUUGAGAGACUGAUCGGCCACAAUGGGACUGAGACACGGCCCAUACUCCUACGGGAGGCAGCAGUAGGGAAUCUUCCACAAUGGGCGAAAGCCUGAUGGAGCAACGCCGCGUGUGUGAUGAAGGGUUUCGGCUCGUAAAACACUGUUGUAAGAGAAGAAUGACAUUGAGAGUAACUGUUCAAUGUGUGACGGUAUCUUACCAGAAAGGAACGGCUAAAUACGUGCCAGCAGCCGCGGUAAUACGUAUGUUCCAAGCGUUAUCCGGAUUUAUUGGGCGUAAAGCGAGCGCAGACGGUUAUUUAAGUCUGAAGUGAAAGCCCUCAGCUCAACUGAGGAAUUGCUUUGGAAACUGGAUGACUUGAGUGCAGUAGAGGAAAGUGGAACUCCAUGUGUAGCGGUGAAAUGCGUAGAUAUAUGGAAGAACACCAGUGGCGAAGGCGGCUUUCUGGACUGUAACUGACGUUGAGGCUCGAAAGUGUGGGUAGCAAACAGGAUUAGAUACCCUGGUAGUCCACACCGUAAACGAUGAGUGCUAGGUGUUUGAGGGUUUCCGCCCUUAAGUGCCGCAGCUAACGCAUUAAGCACUC
rnacentral:rRNA from 1 species